UCGGGAAUCUUGCACAAUGGGCGAAAGCCUGAUGCAGCAACACCGUGUGAGCGAGGAAGGCCUUCGGGUCGUAAAGCUCUGUUGUUGGGGACGAAGGGCGAAGGGUUAAUAGCCCCUAGCCUGACGGUACCCUUCGAGGAAGCCCCGGCUAACUACGUGCCAGCAGCCGCGGUAAUACGUAGGGGGCGAGCGUUGUCCGGAAUUAUUGGGUGUAAAGGGUGUGUAGGCGGACUUGUAAGUCAGAGGUGAAAGCCCGCGGCUUAACCGCGGAAUUGCCCCUGAUACUGCAAGUCUUGAGUCCUGGAGAGGUCGCUGGAAUUCGUGGUGUAGCGGUGAAAUGCGUAGAUAUCACGAGGAACACCAGAGGUGUAGACGGGUGACUGGACAGGAACUGACGCUGAGGCACGAAAGCGUGGGGAGCAAACAGGAUUAGAUACCCCCGUAGUCC
rnacentral:rRNA from 1 species